rnacentral:misc_RNA from 1 species
GUGAAGAACGUAGCGAAAUGCGAUAAGUAAUGUGAAUUGCAGAAUUCAGUGAAUCAUCGAAUCUUUGAACGCACAUUGCGCCCCCUGGUAUUCCGGGGGGCAUGCCUGUCCGAGCGUCAUUGCUGCCCUCAAGCACGGCUUGUGUGUUGGGCCCCGUCCUCCGAUCCCGGGGGACGGGCCCGAAAGGCAGCGGCGGCACCGCGUCCGGUCCUCGAGCGUAUGGGGCUUUGUCACCCGCUCUGUAGGCCCGGCCGGCGCUUGCCGAUCAACCCAAAUUUUUAUCCAGGUUGACCUCGGAUCAGGUAGGGAUACCCGCUGAACUUAAGCAUAUCAAUAAGCGGAGGA